CACUGAGAAGCUAAAAUGGAUAUAGCAUUAGCCCUUUAAGCUAAAAAAUGGUGUCCCCCAAGCACCCUUAGUGA
rnacentral:tRNA from 1 species